rnacentral:rRNA from 1 species
GACGGAGGAUGCAAGCGUUAUCCGGAAUGAUUGGGCGUAAAGCGUCCGCAGGUGGCAGUUCAAGUCUGCUGUCAAAGACCGGGGCUCAACCUCGGAAAGGCAGUGGAAACUGAACAGCUAGAGUAUGGUAGGGGAAAAGGGAAUUCCUGGUGUAGCGGUGAAAUGCGUAGAGAUCAGGAAGAACAUCGGUGGCGAAGGCGCUUUGCUGGACCAUAACUGACACUCAGGGACGAAAGCUAGGGGAGCGAAUGGG